rnacentral:rRNA from 1 species
CCUACGGGGGGCAGCAGUGGGGGAUAUUGGACAAUGGGGGCAACCCUGAUCCAGCGAUGCCGCGUGUGUGAAGAAGGCCUGCGGGUUGUAAAGCACUUUCAGUGGGGAGGAGGAUAUAGGAGUUAAAAGCUAGAUAUAUUGGACGUUACCCACAGAAGAAGCACCGGCAAACUCCGUGCCAGCAGCCGCGGUAAUACGGAGGGUGCGAGCGUUAAUCGGAAUUACUGGGCGUAAAGGGUGCGUAGGCGGUACGUUAAGUUAUUUGUGAAAUACUUGGGCUUAACCUAGGUGCUGCAAAUAAUACUGGCGAGCUAGAGUAUGGUAGAGGGUAGUGGAAUUUCCGGUGUAGCGGUGAAAUGCGUAGAGAUCGGGAGGAACACUGGUGGCGAAGGCGGCUACCUGGACCAAUACUGACGCUGAGGCACGAAAGCGUGGGGAGCAAACAGGAUUAGAUACCCUAGUAGUC